rnacentral:lncRNA from 1 species
GGAAGCAAAUAGGAAAGGAAAAGUUGACUUUUUCAUUUGCUCCAUAGUGUUAAGUCUUAUCUUGAACAACCAAGAUUAGAUAACUCUUUGAUACAAUAACACCUGCAUCUAAGGCACACAUCCAAACAUUAUUUCAUUAAGUAUCAUGCCUAUGAGAGAUGGAAAGAUCCUACAAGAUGAACAAGUUUCUUUCUGUUGAACAUAAGAAAAACCUUGGUUUAUCAGGUAUUUUAUUGUGCGUAUGUUUUAAAUCACAUUGUAAUUUGCUUUACAUUGCAGUAGGCUUUUAUUCUUUGGAAUUACUUUAAAUGAACUUUUCAGGGAUUUCUGAAUUCUUAAAAAUGAGGGACAUUGUCUCCUUGGGAGGAGGCAGAGCUUUUAGAAACACUGAAUAAAUUAGUUCUGGUGGCAUGUAGAAAGAAUAAACAACUUGUUAUAGUAUAAAAUACCACGAAUUAUAGUUGGUGAAAAUGUAUUGUAUACCAAAAAGUUGUUACAUGCCUUCUUAAGCUGUUGUUUUGACGUUUGUUCCUUACAUUGCUUUCCCAUUUAUAUAAGGGGAUAUAGAAAAUUCUGCAGAAGUAUUUUCAUGCUGUUAUUCUUACUGUUGUGGUCUGGAGUACUUCUACUGUCUUAAAUGCUGCAAUUUAGGAUGUGAUCAAUUGAAGAGUUAGUUCAGCGAUGAUUAAAAAGACCUAUCAGUUUUUUGUUUUUUGUUUUUUUUUUAAAGUGAACCUAGAAGAAACACUUUUUUUUUUUUUCGGAGAGGGGGGAAGGACUUUUCUAUUACCAAAAUAAAUAAAUAAAUAAAAAAUACAGAGAGUAUUAUCAAGAAACAACUUCUAAUUGUGUUCCAUGUUCAUUGGAUGGAAGACAAAGGAAGUAACUUCGUAGUAAAGAAGGGUUCACCUGAGCACAAGGAAAGCUUGGGACCUGUGGUAUCUCUGUUAAGAAAACUUACAGCUUCUACAGCCUGCCACUUUAGUGCACAAUUGAUGAUUUCACUUGAAAUACUCACGUGAAGAAAUUAACAGUAGGCAA